rnacentral:rRNA from 1 species
UACGUAGGGGGCAAGCGUUGUCCGGAUUUAUUGGGCGUAAAGAGCGUGUAGGCGGCCAUUCAGGUCAGCUGUGAAAACUCGAGGCUCAACCUCGAGACGUCGGUUGAAACCGUUUGGCUAGAGUCCGGAAGAGGAGAGUGGAAUUCCCGGUGUAGCGGUGAAAUGCGCAGAUAUCGGGAAGAACACCCGUGGCGAAGGCGGCGAUCUGGGUCGAUACUGACGCUGAGGUGCGAAAGCGUGGGGAGCAAACAGG